rnacentral:rRNA from 1 species
GACGAACGCUGGCGGCGUGCUUAACACAUGCAAGUCGAACGGAAAGGCCUGCUUUCCCUUGUGGAUUGCGGGUGCUCGAGUGGCGAACGGGUGAGUAACACGUGAGUGAUCUGCCCCCAACUUGGGUAUAAGCCUGGGAAACUGGGUCUAAUUCCCGAUAGGACUGCAGGGUGGUGCCUGUGGUGGAAAACGAUUUUCUAGUGGUUGGGGAUGAGCUCGCGGCCUAUCAGCUUGUUGGUGGGGUAAUGGCCUACCAAGGCGGCGACGGGUAGCCGGCCUGGGAGGGUGGACGGCCACAUUGGGACUGAGAUACGGCCCAGACUCCUACGGGAGGCAGCAGUGGGGAAUAUGGCACAAUGGGCGGAAGCCUGAUGCAGCGACGCCGCGUGGGGGAUGACGGCCUUCGGGUUGUAAACUCCUUUCGACCGCGAGGAAGCCACCUGGUUGGAAGGGUGGUGACGGUAGUGGUAGAAGAAGCACCGGCUAACUACGUG